UUUCACACGUUUUCAGAUGUUUCCUUCUGGAAAAUACAAGCCAGCUGCAAUGCAACAAAAAGGUCAUUAAUUCUAAGUUCCUCAAAGGUCUAAGUUCCGUGUUCCAGUGUGGCCGACCCAGCACCAUCCCAAGCCCCGGCGUGUGCCAGCGGGGCCCUGCCAUCGGCGGGACGGGCAGGGGUCCGCAAGCCCGAGGCUCCGCCCGCUCGGUGUUUCACUGAUCGCGCCGGCGUGUGCUUGAGGAAACUUCAGGACCCGCGACAGAGCUGGAAAUGGGGUUGCCCUUUCUGUCCUCUGGGCCCCGGGCUCUGCUGUCUGAUAGCACGCGGGCCGUGGUGACAGAGGCCACAUCUGAAACAGCUCUCCGGCCUUCUCUGUUUCCAGCGGCCGAUCCGAUGACCCACUUUCCUGGUGCAUCAUUUCACACUCAGAAGAGUGCAGACAGAAGAGGCAGGACUGGAGCAGGAAGCAGAGACCCCAGAGACCUCCAGGGAACCCCGGACCCCGGCCGGGCUGUGCAUCAGGGCCCAGUCCCUCAGCCGGCAGUCAGCACCACCCGUCCCUCUGUCCAUCUGCUUCGUCUUGGAAGUCGUAUCGACAACCAGCCAGCGCAGACCGGCCAGGCUGACGUGUCCUCCAGGCGAGCUGCCUCUCGCCCACCUCUGCCCUUUCUGGGGACCUGCCCUCUGGACCUGCCACCCCUUCCCUCAUACACCCUCUUACUGUUUCCGGGACCCUCCUCUCGUUCAAUGGCAUCGUAUAAGAGCUUAAUUGAGUCUUAACACAGCUAUCUGGGGUGCGGUCAGUGUUCCCAGCACGUGCAGUUUCAUCUGUCCUGUGGGGUCACCCCCAGAUGGUCUGCUAAGACACUGAGGGAAUGACCGUCCUCUGCACCGGUAACCACUGCUGCGCACAAGCUCACACGUGAGACCACCGGGUCUACCCCUUCCCCUCCGACAAAAUGAACCUGACAGGCGUCUGCGUGUCACGAGCGUCAGGAGGAGCGUCCUGCUCGCACUGGGUCUCCAGGGCCCGCCAGCCCGCCACCACGUUACCUGCUUCCGCUCCUCAGAGUUUAGCAGGAGGUAACGCGGAUCAAACACGAUUUUGUGUAAUUCUUUCUCCCAGGUAGAAAACGCUGACACCUGAAGAAAGAUAUUCAACAGAGUUGUUUUUAGCAUCUAACACAGAGCCCGAGGUCAUGCUGAAAUCAUCGAUGGGGGCAAACAGCAUCGGGGUGCCGUGGGCUCAGCGACGCAGCCUCGCACGAGAGCGUUAGGCACGCCAACGUUCCAGGAAAUCAACACCUAGAGCUCUGGGAAAUUAAAUUCUACGCUCAUGCCACUAUUUCUUCCCUGGAUUUCUUCCAGGGCCCCGUGCCGCUGAUCUGAAGCCCCCAUUCUAUCUGUGCAGCUGGAACGCCAUUCUGGAAUGUCACAUCUUGAAAUCAGAAAUAACGGAUCCCACCCAGGACAGCGCGGGACAGUGUCAUCCCUAGAGUCAGACGAUUCUCCAAGAAUCGCGGUUCCUUUUGCUGGAGAACAAAUCAGAAACCGUGACCUGGUUCUCCGCCGUGGGACACCGAGCUUCUAGCUUCUCCCCGCUGACAGAGCAAGGAAACGUUUAAGUCAUGUACACAAUAAUUUAUCCACUUAAAAGCAUGGACUAGGGAUUGACUACGCCCUAGGCCCCACGCUGCGUGCUGAGGACUCAGAGAAAGUCAAGGUCCUGACAUCAGAGAGCCCGUGGCCUGGGGCAAGGCAGACAAGCGAGCUAAUGAUCCCUUGCGAGGCAUCUGUGCCAUAUGAGGGACACUCCCGGACACAGAGAGGCCACGGCAAAGGGAUAUCCCCAUCCCCAGGGAUCAGUUUCCAGAACACUGACUAUUCUGGAACAUGGACACUCCUCAGGCUCCCGAAGGGCCUGGGGGUCCAGGAGGGGCUGUCUGGGGUGCAAAGGCGUGUUCGUGAGCUGGGGAUAUGUGACAAGUGCGAGCGGCAGAGCACGUUGGGGGGCAGGGAGGGGUCGGGGAGAGGCAGGAUAGUCCCAAGCUGAGGGAGGACCUGCACUUGACCUGGGGAGCCACGGCGGGCAGUCACACGUGAUGCACAUUUGAGGGAGGCUACUCCGGCCUGCCGGGCGGGGAAUGAACCCUGGGCCCAGAGGAGACAGCAAGCUAACGGUGGCUUUACAAAAACAAAACCCAUUCACCCUCUCACCUCUGAGCACAUUGACGUGUUGCUGGUAGAGACACUAUUUUAAUAAACAGGUGCUUUACUUGGUA